AACGCAUAAUGAGGACACUUCAAGAGUAAGUGAUUAAAUCUCUGCCAUGCUUCAAAGAAUUAUUCAUCCUCUUUUGUAUAAACUCUGAAAUCUCCCUGCAAAU
rfam:Citrus clementina cultivar Clemenules unplaced genomic scaffold scaffold_8, whole genome shotgun sequence.